AGUGAACGCUGGCGGUAGGCCUAACACAUGCAAGUCGAACGGCAGCACAGUAAGAGCUUGCUCUUACGGGUGGCGAGUGGCGGACGGGUGAGGAAUACAUCGGAAUCUACUUUUUCGUGGGGGAUAACGUAGGGAAACUUACGCUAAUACCGCAUACGACCUACGGGUGAAAGCAGGGGAUCUUCGGACCUUGCGCGAUUGAAUGAGCCGAUGUCGGAUUAGCUAGUUGGCGGGGGAAAGGCCCACCAAGGCGACGAUCCGUCGCUGGUCGGAGAGGAUGAGCGACCAAUCCUGAACAAGAAAACGGGCCAACCUCCUACGGGACGCCGCAGUUGGGAAUCUUGGACAAUUGGCGCAAGCCUGAUCCAGCCAUACCGCGUGGGUGAAUAAGGCCUUCAGGUUGUAAAGCCCUUUUGUUGGGAAAGAAAAGCAGCGGGUUAAAACCCAGCUGCUCUGACGGUACCCAAAGAAUAAGCACCGGCUAACUUCGUG
rnacentral:rRNA from 1 species